GACGAACGCUGGCGGCGUGCCUAAUGCAUGCAAGUCGAGCGACGCACCUCGGAGGGGUAACCCACCGAUAUGACGGAGCGGCGAACGGGUGAGUAACACGUGAGCAACCUGCCCCACAGAUCGGGAUAGCCCAGGGAAACCUGGAUUAAUACCGAAUACCCUCGAGUAACCACAUGAUUGUUCGAGGAAAUGCCUUUGUGCUGUGGGAUGGGCUCGCGGCUUAUCAGCUAGUUGGUGGGGUAACGGCCUACCAAGGCAUCGACGAGUAGCUGGUCUGAGAGGACGAUCAGCCACACUGGGACUGAGACACGGCCCAGACUCCUACGGGAGGCAGCAGCAGGGAAUCUUGCGCAAUGGGCGAAAGCCUGACGCAGCAACGCCGCGUGGGGGAUGAAGGCCUUCGGGUUGUAAACCCCUUUCAGGAGGGAAGAAAUUGACGGUACCUCCAAAAGAAGCCCCGGCUAACUACGUG
rnacentral:rRNA from 1 species